rnacentral:misc_RNA from 1 species
AAAAAAAAGUCAAAAUGACUUCAAACAUAUGUUGUUCAAUGCAAUGUGUUAAUCUUCCACUCAUGCAAAACCAAGCCUCUCAAGGAUAUGGGCAACAGGCUGAAACAAGAAUCCUUACCAGCAAAGUUUUCUCGGGGUUUGAACUUUCAAGGGCCAAGAGAUGUGGCAUUGUAAGAAAAGUAUCCUGGUUUAGACAAGUGCUUAAGAUUUGCCAUCUUGAAGAUUUGCGACAGAUAGCUUUCUUAUCUUCCUAUCAUGGUUAAGCAUGGCACUAACACUCUCAACCAGCAAAAUAAUCUGCAAGCAAGCAUAAGCAAUUGCAGUUGCAAAGUAGAAGUUUGCAUUGCCAGUGCCCCUCCAAAUCCAUAGGUUGUGCAUCACAGGGCUAAGGAGGGAAAUCCCUACAUAUCCGCAAAAUAUGAAAAAAGAGAAUGGCAUAUCCGCUAAUUCAUCAAGAAACAAAACCAGUAAACCCAAGUAUAGAGCUGAAUCUCCAACUGAUGGAUAUGAUUUAAGCAUUGAUGAGAUAGCAAUGUAGACGAAAGCCAAGAAGCAGGGCCGAUGGUUUAGCCUUAUGGCUAAAGGCAAUAUCAUAAACAAAAUAUUCACAUGGAAAACUAUCAAAAAGAAAUUUCUGAAGAAAUCAAAAACUUCAGCAAAGAAAUACCAUAGAACACCUAUAUUUGGUGACAUAUCUUCCACUGUAAGAAUGAAACCAUAUGUUCUUUGAAACAUCUCCCAUAGGCCACUAUACUGUUUGACGGAUAUGCCAC